AAUCAAGCGCGAAAAGGGCGUUUGGUGAAUGCCUUGGCAGUAAGAGGCGAUGAAAGACGUGAUACUCUGCGAUAAGCUAUGGGGAGCUGAGAAUAAGCUUUGAUCCAUGGAUUUCUGAAUGGGGCAACCCACCUGACAGUUUGUUAUUGUUGCGCAAGCACUCAAUAACCGGCUGAACCAGGUAUUUAUAACCUGAAUACAUAGGGUUAUAAAGGCAAACCCGGGGAACUGAAACAUCUAAGUACCCGGAGGAAAGGACAUCAAUUGAUACUCCCCUAGUAGCGGCGAGCGAACGGGGACCAGCCGAGCCAUGAGUGUGACUGGAACAGACUGGAAAGUCUGGCCAUAGUGGGUGACAGCCCCGUACAGGAAGCAUGAUUGGACGUAUUAAGUAGGGCGGAACACGUGAAAUUCUGUCUGAAGAUCGGAGGACCACCUUCGAAGGCUAAGUACUCCUUACUGACCGAUAGCGAACCAGUACCGUGAGGGAAAGGUGAAAAGCACCCCGACGAGGGGAGUGAAACAGUACCUGAAACCGAACGCCUACAAUCAGUCGGAGCUUCCUUGCGAAGUGACGGCGUACCUUUUGUAUAAUGGGUCAUCGACUUGGUCUCACGUGCAAGCUUAAGCCGUUAGGUGUAGGCGCAGCGAAAGCGAGUCUUAAUAGGGCGUCGAGUUCGUGGGAUCAGACCCGAAACCGAGUGAUCUAGGCAUGACCAGGCUGAAGGUAAGGUAACACUUACUGGAGGGCCGAACCCACACCUGUUGAAAAAGGUCGGGAUGAGUUGUGCCUAGGGGUGAAAGGCCAAUCAAACUCGGAGAUAGCUGGUUCUCUGCGAAAUCUAUUUAGGUAGAGCGUCAUCCGAAUACCCUCGGGGGUAGAGCACUGGAUGGGUAAUGGGGCCCCACAGGCUUACUGAUCCUAACCAAACUCCGAAUACCGAGGAGUACUAGAUGGCAGACACACUGCGGAUGCUAACGUCCGUAGUGGAGAGGGAAACAACCCUGACCUCCAGCUAAGGCCCCUAAUUCAUGGCUAAGUGGGAAAGCAGGUGGGACGACCAAAACAACCAGGAGGUUGGCUUAGAAGCAGCCAUCCUUUAAAGAUAGCGUAACAGCUCACUGGUCUAAUCAAGUUGUCCUGCGGCGAAGAUGUAACGGGGCUCAAGCCAUGAGCCGAAGCUGAGGAUGCCGUAAGGCAUGGUAGCAGAGCGUAGUGUGACAUAGUUCCAUGUGUCCUUACCUUCUUCGGAAGGAUUGGACACAAGGAGCUUUCUGUGAAGCCGGCGCGUGAGCGAUCCGGUGGAGAGAUCACUAGCGAGAAUGAUGACAUGAGUAGCGACAAAGAGUGUGAGAGACACUCUCGCCGAAAGUCCAAGGGUUCCUGCUUAAAGCUAAUCUGAGCAGGGUAAGCCGACCCCUAAGGCGAGGCCGAAAGGCGUAGUCGAUGGGAAUCAGGUUAAUAUUCCUGAGCCAGGAGGAUGUGACGGAUCAUGAAGGUUGUUUGCCCUUAUCGGAUUGGGCAGGCCGCUGAUUGGUUCCUGGAAAUAGCCCUCCAUGAGAUCGUACCCUAAACCGACACAGGUGGACUGGUAGAGAAUACCAAGGCGCUUGAGAGAACGAUGUUGAAGGAACUCGGCAAAAUACCUCCGUAAGUUCGCGAGAAGGAGGCCCAGUUUCUACGCAAGUAUUGGCUGGGGGCACAAACCAGGGGGUGGCGACUGUUUAUUAAAAACACAGGGCUCUGCGAAGUCGCAAGACGACGUAUAGGGUCUGACGCCUGCCCGGUGCCUGAAGGUUAAAAGGAGGGGUGAGAGCUCUGAAUUGAAGCCCAGGUAAACGGCGGCCGUAACUAUAACGGUCCUAAGGUAGCGAAAUUCCUUGUCGGGUAAGUUCCGACCUGCACGAAUGGCGUAACGACUUCCCCGCUGUCUCCAACAUCGACUCAGCGAAAUUGAAUUACCUGUCAAGAUGCAGGUUUCCCGCGGUUAGACGGAAAGACCCCGUGCACCUUUACUACAGCUUCGCACUGGCAUCAGGAUUGUGAUGUGCAGGAUAGGUGGUAGGCUUUGAAACCGUGACGCCAGUCGCGGUGGAGCCUUCCUUGAGAUACCACCCUUCGCACUCUUGAUGUCUAACCGCGGUCCGUUAUCCGGAUCCGGGACCCUGCGUGGCGGGUAGUUUGACUGGGGCGGUCGCCUCCUAAAGCGUAACGGAGGCGCGCGAAGGUUGGCUCAGAGCGGUCGGAAAUCGCUCGUUGAGUGCAAUGGCAGAAGCCAGCCUGACUGCGAGACUGACAAGUCGAGCAGAGUCGAAAGACGGCCAUAGUGAUCCGGUGGUCCCGAGUGGAAGGGCCAUCGCUCAACGGAUAAAAGGUACGCCGGGGAUAACAGGCUGAUACUGCCCAAGAGUCCAUAUCGACGGCAGUGUUUGGCACCUCGAUGUCGGCUCAUCUCAUCCUGGGGCUGGAGCAGGUCCCAAGGGUACGGCUGUUCGCCGUUUAAAGAGGUACGUGAGCUGGGUUUAGAACGUCGUGAGACAGUUCGGUCCCUAUCUGCCGUGGGUGUAGGAUACUUGAGAGGAGUUGCCCCUAGUACGAGAGGACCGGGGUGAACGAUCCACUGGUGGACCUGUUGUUGCGCCAGCAGCAGUGCAGGGUAGCUAUGAUCGGACAGGAUAACCGCUGAAGGCAUCUAAGCGGGAAGCCCCCCUCAAAACAAGGUAUCCCUGAGAGCCGUGGUAGACCACCACGUCGAUAGGCCGGAGAUGUAAGUGCAGCAAUGCAUUCAGUUGACCGGUACUAAUUGCUCGAUAGGCUUGAUUUG
rnacentral:rRNA from 1 species